rnacentral:lncRNA from 1 species
UGGAGGAUGUGUGAACUACCUUCACCCGAGGAAAAUAAUCCAACACAACUGACUGCUUAAUAACCGAAAAGGUGGCUGAAAUCAGAGACUGACUUGCAACUAUUGCAGCUAAUGUGGCUAUCACAAAAAUUGGCCAGUACACAGCAGAUGGUAUAAACUUGUAAAAUCCAUCAAAAUGGUCAUCGGGAUUUCUAAUCAGAUAUGCCGUCUGUCCUGCAUAUGUCAGCACCAAUGAUGGAUAUAUAGUACAGAAAAAUGCUAUCUGCCAGAAAACAAGGUUCCUUAAAUCAUAUAAACAAGCAAGAAGAAGAGACUAAGAGAAAUUCCAAGACGUCGCAAGUAUUUUUACCCGAAUUGAACUCCUGUUGAAAUGACCAAGAUCAGCAAACAUUGCUUCAGAACCUGAAAAAUUAAUGAUAUGAUUGUACUAUUAAACAAAGGAUAUUUUACUAAUCUGCUUGUCUACAUUCUAACAUCUUUAUAGCCUUCCCAAGGUGCGGGAAACAAGAAGAUCAGCAUCUGUUGAAAACAAAUAAAGGAUUUCCCUUUUAGUUAGUGACUGCAGGGACAUUCCAUAUUCUUUAUAAUAUUUUCCACCUCCACUCAUCUCCUUGCGAGUUUCUCUGGAUAUGAAACAAGACACCAGGUCUAAGCUUUUCCGGCCAUGGGUAGACAUUGCACACAUGAUAAUUGGUCCAAAAUUUUGCCCAAUCUUAAUAGCAAAGUAAUAGGGAAAGAAAGUAAAAGAACUCAAAACAUGAGGAAAUGGAUUUAUAUCUUAAUCAAAAUGAAGAACUUUUGCAGACCACACCAACAACAAGGCUUACCUGUAAUGCAUAGGACAGUACCACCAAGAUAUAUCCAUCCUUGUUUUCCCCCUAAGAAUGAAAGAUUAAAAGCAGAGGGUUUAGAGAAUCUUACCGAAGGCAUUUCCGAUGUCUUGUCCAUCUCCGAAAACUAGUAUGACUGCAACACAGAGAAUCAUGAGGAUGUAGUUAACUUCUGGUGAGUAAACCUCGCCUUCUUUGCUGGAGGAUGUGUGAACUACCUUCACCCGAGGAAAAUAAUCCAACACAACUGACUGCUUAAUAACCGAAAAGGUGGCUGAAAUCAGAGACUGACUUGCAACUAUUGCAGCUAAUGUGGCUAUCACAAAAAUUGGCCAGUACACAGCAGAUGGUAUAAACUUGUAAAAUCCAUCAAAAUGGUCAUCGGGAUUUCUAAUCAGAUAUGCCGUCUGUCCUGCAUAUGUCAGCACCAAUGAUG